GUGGGGAAUAUUGGGCAAUGGGCGCAAGCCUGACCCAGCAACGCCGCGUGAAGGAAGAAGGCUUUCGGGUUGUAAACUUCUUUUACCAGGGACGAAACAAAUGACGGUACCUGGUGAAUAAGCCACGGCUAACUACGUGCCAGCAGCCGCGGUAAUACGUAGGUGGCGAGCGUUAUCCGGAUUUAUUGGGUGUAAAGGGCGUGUAGGCGGGACAGCAAGUCAGAUGUGAAAACCAGAGGCUCAACCUCUGGCCUGCAUUUGAAACUGUUGUUCUUGAGUGUCGGAGAGGUAAUCGGAAUUCCGUGUGUAGCGGUGAAAUGCGUAGAUAUUAGGAGGAACACCAGUGGCGAAGGCGGCUUGCUGGACAUUAACUGACGCUGAGGCGCGAAAGCGUGGGGAGCAAACAGGAUUAGAAACCCGUGUAGUCC
rnacentral:rRNA from 1 species